rnacentral:piRNA from 1 species
UAGUUUGAUGAAUUCAUUCGA